rnacentral:rRNA from 1 species
AUUGAACGCUGGCGGCAUGCCUUACACAUGCAAGUCGAACGGUAACAGGUCUUCGGAUGCUGACGAGUGGCGAACGGGUGAGUAAUACAUCGGAACGUGCCCGAUCGUGGGGGGUAACGAGGCGAAAGCUUUGCUAAUACCGCAUACGAUCUACGGAUGAAAGCGGGGGAUCUUCGGACCUCGCGCGGACGGAGCGGCCGAUGGCAGAUUAGGUAGUUGGUGGGAUAAAAGCUUACCAAGCCGACGAUCUGUAGCUGGUCUGAGAGGAUGAUCAGCCACACUGGGACUGAGACACGGCCCAGACUCCUACGGGAGGCAGCAGUGGGGAAUUUUGGACAAUGGGCGAAAGCCUGAUCCAGCCAUGCCGCGUGCAGGAUGAAGGCCUUCGGGUUGUAAACUGCUUUUGUACGGAACGAAAAGCCUCUUCCUAAUAAAGAGGGGUCAUGACGGUACCGUAAGAAUAAGCACCGGCUAACUACGUG